AAUCCGGAUUCUGAAACUAACUUGCAAUUAUGUAUCGAGAAACAACCAAGAUUAUUGAAUGAACAACGUCCAUCUUUCAAAUGUGUAUAAAAUCUUUCCAAAGGUGUUUGAUAUUGUUUGUUUAUUAGCUAUUUGCAUUUUGGUGCAUUUGAAAGUUAUUAUUUGUUGCGAAUUGUGCUGUCGUGUUUACUUAGUCAAUAUGAGUAAUCGAGUAAAGAUCUGCUGUGUACCAGGAUGCACGAAUAAGCAAGCGAUAAGACAUUCCAUUCCUACGAAUGAAGACGAUUGCAGAAUUUGGUUGCAAAGAAUAAAUGCCCCAAGUUGAUAAUAGCAGAUACAGUAUUAACAUCACAUAGAAUAUGUGAUAUUCAUUUUGAAUCAAUUUGUAGAAACCCCAAUGGCAGGUUAAAAAAACUUUUACUGACAACUCUACAUUUACCUAGUAAGUACCUACUGAAUUGUAGUAUAUUAUUUCCACAAAAAUCUGCCUGUUAAUUCUUCUAGUCAUGUAAUCAAGAUGCUAAAUUGUUUAAAUCAUUGUACAUUUUGGGUAUAGGCAUGACUCGACCAUUUCUGGCAGUUAUAAGCAGGUAGUUCUUUAAAAACAAAGAGAAAUGGAUUGACAUGUUCAACAUCUGGGGAACAGGCAUGUUUUUAUUUCAAAUUAAUGACCAAAAGGAUUAUUCAACAAUAAUUUAGGUGAAAGAUAAAUGUCAUUGUAUAUUUUCUAUAAUGUAGUUGUCCAAUUGUUUAUUUUUGCUUACUGAUUUCCUUUUUCUAUUGAGAUUAAUUGAGACAUUUUUUAGGAUCUAUUGCAAGGAGUAGUUCCUCUAUCAGCACCUUUACAGGUAACAGCCCAAUAGAGGGAACAAAAAAACCUGUUAAGGUGUACACAAGGAAGCCAUUAUUUCAAGCCCUUGUUGAAGAACCUUGUAGCUCCUCGAGUAUCCUGUAUGAACCAUCAAUAUUAACUAAUAUGGAAACAGAUAAACUUAAAGGGAAUCAAUUCAUUACGCAUAAAAAACAAAUAUUUCGUUUGGAGGAUUUGACAGACAUUUCUUCAAUAUUUUGUUCAGAUCAUAAGGAUUAUGGCAAAAAUCAACAAUAUAAAGACUAUAAUGUGAUGAAUAUGGUAUAUGUUAAAUAUAGGGAAAGCUGCAAGAAAGACAACGGUAUGUCCCAUGUACAAACAGAAACAAACAGAAAAUUUUUUUUUGUGGAUAUAGUUAUAAAAUGUCAAAAACAAAAUAAAAAUUAUAAUAAUCA